CCAGUCAUAUGCUUGUCUCAAAGAUUAAGCCAUGCAUGUCUGAGUACAGACCGAUCUAAGGUGAAACCGCGAAUGGCUCAUUAAAUCAGUCAUAAUUCCUUGGGUAGUGAAAAACUUUCCUCGGAUAACUGUGGAAAAUCCAGAGCUAAUACGUGCAACUGAGCUCCGACCUCGGCGCGAGCCGUGGGAAGAGCGCAUUUAUUAGAUUCAAAACUGACCGGUGUACUCCUUCGGGAUAUGCCGUUUGUCAAAUGUUUGAUGACUCCGGAUAACUUAGCCGAGCGCUACGGUCUUCAGUACCGGCGCCGUAUCUUUCAAGUGUCUGCCUUAUCAGCUUUCGAUUGUAGGUUAAACGCCUACAAUGGCUGUAACGGGUAACGGGGAAUCAGGGUUCGAUUCCGGAGAGGGAGCCUGAGAAACGGCUACCACAUCUAAGGAAGGCAGCAGGCACGCAAAUUACCCACUCCUAGCCCAGGGAGGUAGUGACGAAAAAUAACGAUGCGAGACUCUUCCGAGGCCUCGCAAUCGGAAUGAGUCUAUUAUAAAUGUAUGGACGAGGAUCCAUUGGAGGGCAAGUCUGGUGCCAGCAGCCGCGGUAAUUCCAGCUCCAAUAGCGUAUAUUAAAGUUGCUGCGGUUAAAAAGCUCGUAGUUGGAUCUACUAAACCAUUUCGUGGGCGAGUCGCUCUUUGUACUAGCGUUUCGCGCGGUUCCUCGAUAUAAAAGCGGAAAUCGUCUUCGUUGUCGUUUUUAAGGGUGGUUAUCGGUUUUGAGAUUUCGAUCGAAAGACCUUUACCUUUCUUUUUCUUCUACUUCGUCUUCGUAUUUUUCGCGCUAAUGUCUUGCGGACGGCGGGACGUUGUCAUCGGGUAUAGCUCGUCCGCGAUUGGUACAAUUAAAAUUUUGUCGGCUCGCUCGGAGUGCUCUUUACCGAGUGUUCCAGGGUGGCCGACACGUUCACUUUGAAAAAAUUAGAGUGCUUAAAGCGGGCCUAUCUUCGGGCCGGAAUGUCUGUGCAUGGAAUGAAGUAACAGGACCUCGAUUCUGUUGUUUUUGUCGGUUUUAAUGAACCGAGGUAAUGAUUAAAAGGGACAGUCGGUGGCAUUAGUAUUGCGACGCUAGAGGUGAAAUUCUUGGACCGUCGCAAGACUGACUACUGCGAAAGCAUUUGCCAAGCAUGUUUUCAUUAAUCAAGAACGAAAGUUAGAGGAUCGAAGGCGAUCAGAUACCGCCCUAGUUCUAACCCUAAACUAUGCUAACUAGCGAUCCGCCGGAGUCAUUCCCACGACCCGGCGGGAAGCCCCAGGGAAACCAAAGUCUUUGAGUUCCGGGGGAAGUAUGGUUGCAAAGCUGAAACUUAAAGGAAUUGACGGAAGGGCACCACCAGGAGUGGAGCCUGCGGCUUAAUUUGACUCAACACGGGGAACCUCACCAGGCCCGGACAUCAUAAGGAUUGACAGGUUGAGAGCUCUUUCUCGAUUUGAUGGGUGGUGGUGCAUGGCCGUUCUUAGUUGGUGGAGUGAUCUGUCUGGUUGAUUCCGAUAACGAACGAGACUCUACCUUACUAACUAGUCGGCGGAUCGUAACCCUGAGAUGGUUAGUUUGUAUAGGAGAGUGUUCGCCGAGGUAUAGUUUUCCUUUCGAUAAACGUUUUUUUCCGGGGGUUGGAUGGAGCGAGAGUGUGCGUGUGCGCUCGCGCGCUCGCGUGUGUGGGAUGGGGGUUUACGCUCUCUUUUCACGCUCGUGGGUGUGUGCGUGUGUGUGUAUAUCUUUCCGCUUUUAUUCUUCUUCGUUUGGAGGAUUCGCGAGUCUUUGGGGACUGUGCCGAAGCUGCUUUCUGAUUACUGCUACUGCUGGGGGCGUUCGUCGCAAUAUAUCUUCUUAGAAGGAUCAGCGGCGUUUAGCCGUACGAGAAAGAGCAAUAACAGGUCUGUGAUGCCCUUAGAUGUUCUGGGCCGCACGCGCGCUACAAUGUAAGGACCAGCGUGCUUUCCCCCUCCGAAAGGAAAGGGUAACCCGUUGAAAGCCCUACCCGAUUGGGAUUGGGGAUUGCAAAUAUUUCCCAUAAACGAGGAAUUCCCAGUAAGCGCGAGUCAUCAACUAGCGCUGAUUAAGUCCCUGCCCUUUGUACACACCGCCCGUCGCUACUACCGAUUGAAUGAUUCAGUGAGGGCAUCGGACUGGCGCCUUCGGUUUUGAAACAUAGACCUUAGGCUGACGGAAAGAUGUCCGAACUCGA
rnacentral:rRNA from 1 species